rnacentral:lncRNA from 1 species
UGCAUUUUCAAAUUAUAAUAUUUUCAACUUAUGAUGGGUUUAUUUGGACAUCGUCCUAUUGUAAGAAGAAGAGAAUCUUUAUUUGAAUGGGAACAGUAGCUUAACCCAAAAAAGGGUUGUUAAGGUGAGAACUUCAGGUCAAACUAUGGGGAGAUAGCAGCAGACGUGUGGGAAAAGCUGGCUGGGCUCCUCAGAACAAAAGAUGUGGGCAGCUGUUCAUCUCCUUCUGAGGAGGGACAGGGCUCUAUCCGUAGGGCCAAGACCAGUGAGGACUAAGGGUUCUCACAGCCAAUGAUGACAUCGAAUGCAAUCACCUCGAGAGGUUCUUGGCUCCGAAUUUAAUUCCACAAGCAUGUGUGGAGUCCUUACCAAGUAUCCUGUUAGACUGUGAAAACCCUGGGGACAGAGACCAUCUCUUCCUCAUCUCCGUAUGGCCAGUGUCUCAACUCGUGAUGAAUUUAUACAAUUUCAGCCAAAAGCAAGAGACAUUUGAUGUUUUCAUUUUUUUUCUGUGCAGUUUUAUUUCAGAUAAGUAAACAUAUGGCAUCUGAGAAGCUUUCUCAAACCCUGAAAUCCGCUGGUGAACCUGGACUUCUACCUUGGAGUUUUCCUGCAUGUGGCAGGUCCCAGGAAAGCUAAGAAGUCCAAAGAAUUGCACCUGUGACCAAGUGCUCCUUGCUUUUUGGAAUACAGGACAGUCAUCAGAAGAAAGGUCAUGUCUGAGGAAAGUGACAUUUGAGCAAAACCCCAAAUCAAGUGACUAUCUGGAAGCAAACGUGAGAACUGGGGAAGGAGGAUGAAUCCAAGCAGAAGAAAGAGCAGUUGCAGCGGACUUGAGCUGGGCAUAAACUCCGUACGUUUCUAAUGUACUGAGCAGGUCAGCAUGACUGGAGGAGGGAGCGUACACAGGGGUGGGUGUUUUUGUAGCGGUUAAGGUGCAGAGGCUACAGUGCUGCUUGCUACACCCUUAUCUCAUAUCAGAAUGCCUGGAGUUGAGUCGCCUCUGCUUCCCAUCCAGCUAACUGUUAACAUGCACCCUGGGAUGCAGUCGUGAUGGUUCAUGUAACUGGAACCAUGCAACCCACAUGGGAGACCUGGAUGGAGUUCCUGGCUCCUGGCUCUUGGUUUCAGCCCAACCCAGCUUCAGCUGUUGCAGGCAUUUGGGAAGUAAACCAGCAGAUGAGAUCUCUUUCUUUGCUCUCUCCUCCCCCCACCUUCAGAUAAAUGAAUGAAUGAGUGAAUAAAUACAGUAUUUUGAGGAGGAGGAAAUUAUAA